rnacentral:rRNA from 1 species
AUUGAACGCUAGCGGGAUGCUUUACACAUGCAAGUCGAACGGCAGCGCGGACUUCGGUCUGUCGGCGAGUGGCGAACGGGUGAGUAAUGUAUCGGAACGUGCCCAGUAGCGGGGGAUAACUACGCGAAAGCGUAGCUAAUACCGCAUACGCCCUACGGGGGAAAGCAGGGGAUCGUAAGACCUUGCACUAUUGGAGCGGCCGAUAUCGGAUUAGCUAGUUGGUGAGGUAACGGCUCACCAAGGCGACGAUCCGUCGCUGGUUUGAGAGGACGACCAGCCACACUGGGACUGAGACACGGCCCAGACUCCUACGGGAGGCAGCAGUGGGGAAUUUUGGACAAUGGGGGCAACCCUGAUCCAGCCAUCCCGCGUGUGCGAUGAAGGCCUUCGGGUUGUGAAGCACUUUUGGCAGGAAAGAAACGUCGCGGGCUAAUACCCCGUGGAACUGACGGUACCUGCAGAAUAAGCACCGGCUAACUACGUG